UGAACGCUGGCGGCGUGCCUAAUACAUGCAAGUCGAGCGAACAGACGAGGAGCUUGCUCCUCUGACGUUAGCGGCGGACGGGUGAGUAACACGUGGAUAACCUACCUAUAAGACUGGGAUAACUUCGGGAAACCGGAGCUAAUACCGGAUAAUAUAUUGAACCGCAUGGUUCAAUAGUGAAAGACGGUUUUGCUGUCACUUAUAGAUGGAUCCGCGCCGCAUAGCUAGUUGGUAAGGUAACGGCUUACCAAGGCAACGAUGCGUAGCCGACCUGAGAGGGUGAUCGGCCACACUGGAACUGAGACACGGUCCAGACUCCUACGGGAGGCAGCAGUAGGGAAUCUUCCGCAAUGGGCGAAAGCCUGACGGAGCAACGCCGCGUGAGUGAUGAAGGUCUUCGGAUCGUAAAACUCUGUUAUUAGGGAAGAACAAAUGUGUAAGUAACUAUGCACGUCUUGACGGUACCUAAUCAGAAAGCCACGGCUAACUACGUG
rnacentral:rRNA from 1 species